GGAUAAGUGACCGAGAGGUUUAUGGUGUCAGUUUUGAAAACUGAAGUGCGAGAGUACCGUGGGUUCGAAUCCCACCUUAUCCU
rnacentral:tRNA from 1 species